CCAGCCGAUCUUCCCAUUUCACCCCCCUCCCGGUCUUGCCGUUUCCACCACAGCUGCCCAAACCUUCUUCCCAGGGUGCUGCGCUGGUGUGAGGACCUCGUCCAUGUCUGAUGCCCCCACUGGUCUCUUGCGGGAGCUACCCUCCACACACAUAUCUUCUUCAAUCACAUCUUCUUGAUGAACCUCCACCACCACAUUGCUCUCCAUUCUAACCUCACUCAAGUCUUCCUUACCCCUUUUCUGUUCAUCCAUCACCUCGACAUCACCUAACCUCACGUCACCUUCCACACCAUGCUCCGACUCUUCCAAAAAAUCCUUCAGCACAGCUUCCAAUAUCCCUUCUUGAGCUGAAUCUGUGUUACCCAACAGUCUGUCUGACAGUGAUAUUCCCCCCCUCCGUUUCCUCUGGGAGUGUGACAUACGUCUCGAAAGCCACCUCUGAUCAUUCAACGUCUUCACUCCAUAGGCCCUUUCCCCGGCCUUCCAUAUCACCCGUCAAAACGUCCAAGGCUUCUAACUGCUUGUCUUCAGAAGCUGUUUCUUGCACCCUAUGGCCCUGUCUCCUGGGGCAUUGUGCCGCCAUGUGCUCAUAAGAGUCACAUAAAUGGCACGUCCUCCUCUGCCCUGCAAAGUGUACAAAAACCUGAGCUCUAUAGCCAUGCAAUGUGACGCAUGAUGGUAUCAGCUGCCUCAGGGUCAUUUUCAGUGUGAAGGAUCCUUCUGGCAGCCCCUCGUACGGGCCGUCCCUCCACAUUCCCAUGCUCGCCGAGUGGACAGUCCCAUAACCGCUGAACACAUCCUGAAGGCUGUAUGCUGUCGCUUCAAAACAUACAUUCCGUACCUUCACCCAAGUAAAAUACUUAAAGCAUCAUGCAUGCAUACUUCCACUGCCGAAUUUACGCUCAUUCUCUGUUCUUGAAAUUCGUCGACGAUGCUGGAGUAGAAACCGGCCCUCAUGAACUUCACGAAGACCCUUGUCAUACCAUUCAGUGCCACACUGUACAACUCUUCAUUGGGGAUUCCAUAAACAUCCUUGAUAAUGUUUGGGAGGAGAACGUUCAUCGUGGCGCUGCUUAACGAUCCCCUGACCAGCUCGAUGCAGACAGUGUUUAUACGCCGGCUCAUAUGGUCCACCAUCUUGAUGCUAAUGCUAUGUUUUUCUCACCAGGUCGCGUGCAAGAGAAACUGUAGAAGCGGCCUCUCUCCCCGUAGGUCGAGAGACGAAUGAAAUUGGUGACUUGAGGCAGCCUCCGCAGUCUGAUGACUUGAGGUUCUCUAGAAUAUCGUGUCAGCCCUGCAAAUUGACAGAAGUGGACAUUAGAAACAUGAUCCGUUACCUGGAUCACCACAGUGUUAAGACGGAAUACAUCACAUUGAACACCACCAUCAGCAUCCCAGAGAGCCAACAGCACCAACUGGUCUCCCUGGCUCAGAAAACCCUCAACUGUAAAUUAAGUAUAAGACAUCAGCUUUAAAGCGUCUAGAACAACUACACAAAACUUGUCGUCAGUUGCCUCUGUUACCGCAUCAACACGUUUGUUGGAUCCUUGAUGACAGUAGGAUCAAGUCUGAUCAUCUUAAUCAGUGCCGUACCCUUGAUGACAGUAGGAUUAAGUCUGAGCUGUCUAUUAGGUGGAACUUUAUAAGAAACCUGACUAUAUACAGAAUAGCUUUAUAGGCGAGCUGACCUUAUACAGAGGACUUAAUAAGAGAACUGUCCUUAUUCAGAGAAGCUUAAUAAGAGAACUGUCCUUAUGCAGAGGAGCUUAAUAAGAGAGCUGACCUUAUAUAGAGGAGCUUAAUAAGAGAGCUGAUCUUAUAUAGUGUAGACAGCAUGUACUGUCUCCUUGAUUCAUAUCCCGCGGCACUAGGGUGCUGCCCUCUGUAGGCCUGCCCAGGUCAGUGAGACGCGAAGCCUACCCGGUCUCACUCCACGGCCUACCCUCACGAGUUCAACAACCUACCCUCACGAGUUCAACAACCUACCCUCACGGGUUCAACAACCUACCCUCACGAGUUCAACAACCUACCCUCACGAGUUCAAGAAUCUACCCUCACGAGUUCAACAAUCUACCCUCACGAGUUCAACAAUCUACCCUCACGGGUUCAACAACCUACCCCCCGGGUUCAACAACCUACCCUCACGGGUUCAACAACCUACCCUCACGAGUUCAACAAUCUACCCUCACGGGUUCAACAACCUACCCUCACGGGUUCAACAACCUACCCUCACGGGUUCAACAACCUACCCUCACGGGUUCAACAACCUACCCUCACGGGUUCAACAACCUACUCUCCACGGACUGGCUACUAGUCAUUCCCUCACUCUGCCCGUCUUGUACCUACGUGUGGAUUAAUAAAGUCGAGCCUAGUCUACGGCCGCACCUGUGCAACCUACGAUAUCCUUUCGGCACUAAACCGCUGUUCAACACCAAGAACAGCAUUAACAAUAGGGGAGUUUAACAAGAGAGCUGGCCUUAUAUAGAGAAGCUUAAUAAGAGAGCUGACCUUAUGUAGAGGAGCUUAAUAAGAGAGCUGACCUUAUAUAGAGGAGCUUAAUAAGAGAGCUGACCUUAUGUAGAGGAGCUUAAUAAGAGAGCUGACCUUAUAUAGAGAAGCUUAAUAAGAGAGCUGACCUUAUGUAGAGGAGCUUAAUAAGAGAGCUGACCUUAUGUAGAGGAGCUUAAUAAGAGAGCUGACCUUAUAUAGAGAAGCUUAAUAAGAGAGCUGACCUUAUGUAGAGGAGCUUAAUAAGAGAACUGACCUUAUGUAGAGGAGCUUAAUAAGAGAACUGACCUUAUGUAGAGGAGCUUAAUAAGAGAGCUGACCUUAUAUAGAGAAGCUUAAUAAGAGAGCUGACCUUAUGUAGAGGAGCUUAAUAAGAGAGCUGACCUUAUAUAGAGAAGCUUAAUAAGAGAGCUGACCUUAUACAGAGGAGCUUAAUAAGAGAGCUGACCUUAUAUAGAGAAGCUUAAUAAGAGAGCUGACCUUAUGUAGAGGAGCUUAAUAAGAGAGCUGACCUUAUAUAGAGAAGCUUAAUAAGAGAGCUGACCUUAUGUAGAGGAGCUUAAUAAGAGAACUGACCUUAUGUAGAGGAGCUUAAUAAGAGAGCUGACCUUAUGUAGAGGAGCUUAAUAAGAGAGCUGACCUUAUAUAGAGAAGCUUAAUAAGAGAGCUGACCUUAUGUAGAGGAGCUUAAUAAGAGAGCUGACCUUAUAUAGAGAAGCUUAAUAAGAGAGCUGACCUUAUGUAGAGGAGCUUAAUAAGAGAGCUGACCUUAUGUAGAGGAGCUUAAUAAGAGAGCUGACCUUAUGUAGAGGAGCUUAAUAAGAGAGCUGACCUUAUAUAGAGAAGCUUAAUAAGAGAGCUGACCUUAUGUAGAGGAGCUUAAUAAGAGAGCUGACCUUAUGUAGAGGAGCUUAAUAAGAGAGCUGACCUUAUAUAGAGAAGCUUAAUAAGAGAGCUGACCUUAUGUAGAGGAGCUUAAUAAGAGAGCUGACCUUAUAUAGAGAAGCUUAAUAAGAGAGCUGACCUUAUAUAGAGGAGCUUAAUAAGAGAGCUGACCUUAUGUAGAGGAGCUGAGGAGAUAUAUGAGAGGUGAGUGUAUAUAGCAGAGUUUAUAACAGCUGUCUGUAUAAAAAGAUUUUUAUGAGAAAUGUCUAAAUGUUUAUUACUCAUUAAUUUGAAACUCUUAAAUACUUAUUAAUUACCUAGAUACUUAUUAAUCAUCAUUUUUAACACAUAUGUGCUAAUUUAUCAUUAUUUUUAAAACUAAAUGCUUAUUAAUCAUUAUUAUGAAAUAGCCAUAGAUUUAUAAGAGAGCUGGUUGUAUAUACAAUAUAUUUAUAUGAUGUCUUAAAUGCUUAUCAAUCAUUAUUUUAAAACACCUUAAUACUUAUUACUCAUGAUUUUGAAUUAUCUCGAUACUUAUUACUCAAGAAUUUUGAAAUUUCUAGAUACUUAUUACUCAUGAUUUUGAAUUAUCUCGAUACUUAUUACUCAAGAAUUUUGAAAUUUCUAGAUUCUUAUUACUCAUGAUUUUGAAUAUUCUAGAUAUUUAUUAAUCAUUAUAUUGAAUUACCUAGAUAUUUAUUACUCAUUUUGAAUUACCUUGAUAGUUAUUAAUCAUCAUUUAGUAUCACAUACCUGCUUACUGAUCAUUAUUUUGAAAAAAAACUAAAUGCUUAUUAAAACCUUAUUAUGAAGCAGCUCAGUUCUUAUUAAUUUUUAAAUUAAAUGAUUUAUUUUAAAAACUGAAAUGUUUAUUAAUGAUUUUGAAGCAUCUAAAUAAUUUUUGAUCGUUAUAUUGAAUCAAUAUUUUGAAGCUUAUUAAUGCUUAUUAAUCAUAUUUUUGAAACAGUUACAUCUAAGGUCAGUCACAAGGUCGCAUUUAAGUCACUUAGGAUCAAUUUGGGUCACAUAGGGUCACGUAGGAUCAAUUUGGGUCACAUAGGGUCAUGUAGGAUCAAUUUGGGUCACAUAGGGUCACGUAGGAUCAAUUUGGAUCACAUAGGGUCACGUAGGAUCAAUUUGGGGCACAUAGGGUCAGGUAGGAUCACUUUGGGUCACAUAGGGUCACGUAGGAUCAAUUUGGGUCACAUAGGGUCAUGUAGGAUCACGUUGGGUCACAUAGGGUCACGUAGGAUCAAUUUGGAUCACAUAGGGUCACGUAGGAUCAAUUUGGGGCACAUAGGGUCAGGUAGGAUCAAUUUGGGUCACAUGGGGUCACGUAGGAUCAAUUUGGGUCACAUAGGGUCAUGUAGGAUCACGUUGGGUCACAUAGUCACGUAGGAUCAAUUUUGGUCACGUAGGGUCAGAUAGGAUCAAUUUGGGUCACAUAGGGUCAGGUAGGAUCAAUUUGGGUCACAUAGGGUCAGGUAGGAUCAAUUUGGGUCACAUAGGGUCACGUAGGAUCAAUUUGGGGCACAUAGGGUCACGUAGGAUCAAUUUGGGUCACAUAGGGUCAGGUAGGAUCAAUUUGGGUCACAUAGGGUCAUGUAGGAUCAAUUUGGGUCACAUAUGGUCACGUAGGAUCAAUCUGGGUCACAUAGGGUCAUGUAGGAUCACGUUGGGUCACAUAGGGUCACGUAGGAUCAAUUUGGGUCACAUAGGGUCACGUAGGAUCAAUUUGGGUCACAUAGGGUUAUGUAGGAUCAAGUUGGGUCACAUAGGGUCACGUCAAAUCAUAUUAAAGUCACAAAGGAUCAUAUUUGGGUUACAUUUAUAGCAUUAUUUGAUCUUAGGUAGGUCUCUUAACGUUGGGUCACAAAGGGUAACGUUUGAUUCACAUAGGUUAACGUUUGGGUCACAUAGGGUAACGUUUGGGUCACAUAGGGUAACGUUUGGGUCACAUAGGGUAACGUUUGGGUCACAUAGGGUAACGUUUGGGUCACAUAGGGUAACGUUUGGGUCACAUAGGGUAACGUUUGGGUCACAUAGGGUAACGUUUGGGUCACAUAGGGUAACGUUUGGGUCACAUAGGGUAGCAUUUAGAUCAUAUUUUCCUGGUUGACCAGGCAAACAAGUCUGGCUUUGGUCAACUUAUCAAGGAAAAGAGAAGAUCUGAUGUCAGUAACUAUAGACUUGUUAGUGUACUCAUUGUGAUGUCUAAGAGAUCUAAAAAGUUCCCUGUGAAUGAAGCUACAGAAACUACGAGUGAAUUUCUGUAUUGGUUAACAUUAGUGUACAUAUUACUGUAAGCUGAUUAUCUAUAGUAUUCAUAUAAACAAUUUAUUUCUCUUUCUUCCAAUUGUUCCUGUUUACCGUAACUGAUUUUUCACGCAGCUGAGCUACUUAGUUGUUUUAAAUUUUAAGGUUAUAAUUAUGAAUGAUUUAUAUUGUUUCUUAAAGCUAAACUUUUAAUAAUGUAAUGAUUAAAAAGACUCCAUUGGAAAUAUAUAUCACUUCGUC